UUCUGUCAGAUCUUCCUAAGCUGUCGAGUGACACUCCACCUCCCGUUUGUUCCUGAUGGACUUCAAUCACGUCUUCCUCCUCCAUCCCCAGCUCUUCUGCAGUAUGGUCAUCGGCAAUCUUCUGGCCUUCAAAGAGAAACCUCAGUGAAUUCACUGACAGAUCCAGUCUUCGACUGCACCACUUGAAGGUUUAGCCUCCUGGUCAAACAUGGCGACAAUGGCCUCCCCAAAGGGUCUCCAUAACAGCCACCUGCAGCGGGGCAGGUUCGCUAUAGCCCAUACAGUGGCUGGAAGAACUUCCUGUACUUCUUAUGUCACUUCCGGGUUCCAGAGGGUUAGCAUCUAAAACCAUAGUGGGGAGUCCGGUGGUAGCAGGUACGCAGGGGAUUACGUCAGAGCUUGAGAUCUGAACUCAGAUUCUCCUGCUGGCGUGGCAGACACUUAUCCAACUGAGCCCUCUCUGCAGCCCACUGACAGUAUCCAAGGAGCUAAAGGGAUCUGCAACCCUGUAGGUGCAACAACAUUAUGAACUAAGCAGUACCCCGGAGCUCUUGACUCACAUAUGUAUCAAAAGAUGGCCUAGUCGGCCAUCACUGGAAAGAGAGGCCCAUUGGACACGCUGCAUCGAUACAUGGAAACAAGAUGAAUCCAGGCAAAGUGGCACAUAUCCAUAAUUCUGGCACUUAGGAGACUGAGACAGAAAGAUCACAAAUUGGAGGGCUAUCCUGGGCUGCAAAGCAAGAUUUUGGUCCAUGAAACCUGAAAGACAAAUUUAA
rnacentral:lncRNA from 1 species